AUUGAACGCUGGCGGCAUGCUUUACACAUGCAAGUCGAACGGCAGCGCGGGCUUCGGCCUGGCGGCGAGUGGCGAACGGGUGAGUAAUACAUCGGAACGUGCCCAGUAGUUGGGGAUAGCUCGGCUAAAGCCGGAUUAAUACCGCAUACGACCUGAGGGUGAAAGCGGGGGAUCUUCGGACCUCGCGCUAUUGGAGCGGCCGAUGGCAGAUUAGCUAGUUGGUGGGGUAAAGGCCUACCAAGGCGACGAUCUGUAGCUGGUCUGAGAGGACGACCAGCCACACUGGGACUGAGACACGGCCCAGACUCCUACGGGAGGCAGCAGUGGGGAAUUUUGGACAAUGGGCGAAAGCCUGAUCCAGCAAUGCCGCGUGUGUGAUGAAGGCCUUCGGGUUGUAAAGCACUUUUGGCGGGAACGAAAAGGACUGUGCCAAUACCACGGUUCGAUGACGGUACCCGCAGAAUAAGCACCGGCUAACUACGUG
rnacentral:rRNA from 1 species